UACGUAUGGAGCGAGCGUUAUCCGGAUUCACUGGGUGUAAAGGGAGCGUAGGCGGCGCGCCAAGUCCGAUGUGAAAACCCGCGGCCCAACCGCGGGACUGCAUUGGAAACUGGCGAGCUAGAGUGUCGGAGGGGCAGGCGGAAUUCCUGGUGUAGCGGUGAAAUGCAUAGAUAUCAGGAGGAACACCGGUGGCGAAGGCGGCCUGCUGGACGACUACUGACGCUGAGACUCGAAAGCGUGGGGAG
rnacentral:rRNA from 1 species